rnacentral:rRNA from 1 species
UUCGAAACUGGCAGGCUUGAGUCUUGUAGAGGGGGGUAGAAUUCCAGGUGUAGCGGUGAAAUGCGUAGAGAUCUGGAGGAAUACCGGUGGCGAAGGCGGCCCCCUGGACAAAGACUGACGCUCAGGUGCGAAAGCGUGGGGAGCAAACAGGAUUAGAUACCCUGGUAGUCCACGCCGUAAACGAUGUCUACUUGGAGGUUGUGCCCUUGAGGCGUGGCUUCCGGAGCUAACGCGUUAAGUAGACCGCCUGGGGAGUACGGCCGCAAGGUUAAAACUCAAAUGAAUUGACGGGGGCCCGCACAAGCGGUGGAGCAUGUGGUUUAAUUCGAUGCAACGCGAAGAACCUUACCUGGUCUUGACAUCCACAGAACUUUCCAGAG